rnacentral:rRNA from 1 species
CGAACGCUGGCGGCGUGCUUAACACAUGCAAGUCGACCGCGCCUGUCCUCUGGGUUUCUGGGGGGUGGGUGAGUGGCGAACGGGUGAGUAACACGUGAGUAACCUGCCCCCUUCUUCGGGAUAACGGUCUGAAAGGGCUGCUAAUACCGGGUAUUCACUGGUCUCCGCAUGGGGUCUGGUGGAAAGGUUUUUUUCUGGUGGGGGAUGGGCUCGCGGCCUAUCAGCUUGUUGGUGGGGUGAUGGCCCACCAAGGCUUUGACGGGUAGCCGGCCUGAGAGGGUGACCGGUCACAGUGGGACUGAGAUACGGCCCAGACUCGUACGGGAGGCAGCAGUGGGGAAUAUUGCACAAUGGGCGCAAGCCUGAUGCAGCGACGCCGCGUGAGGGAUGGAGGCCUUCGGGUUGUGAACCUCUUUCGCCCGUGGUCAAGCCGCGACGUGGGUCGUGGUGAGGGUAGUGGGUAAAGAAGCGCCGGCUAACUACGUG